CAGCCGCCGCUGUAAUACGUAGGUGGCAAGCGUUGUCCGGAAUUAUUGGGCGUAAAGGGCUCGCAGGCGGUUUCUUAAGUCUGAUGUGAAAGCCCCCGGCUCAACCGGGGAGGGUCAUUGGAAGCUGGGAAACUUGAGUGCAGAAGAGGAGAGUGGAAUUCCACGUGUAGCGGUGAAAUGCGUAGAGAUGUGGAGGAACACCAGUGGCGAAGGCGACUCUCUGGUCUGUAACUGACGCUGAGGAGCGAAAGCGUGGGGAGCGAACAGGAUUAGAUACCCCUGUAGUCCCUGUCUCUUAUAC
rnacentral:rRNA from 1 species